CCUACGGGGGGCAACAGUGGGGAAUAUUGGACAAUGGGCGAAAGCCUGAUCCAGCCAUGCCGCGUGUGUGAAGAAGGCCUUCGGGUUGUAAAGCACUUUCAGUGGGGAAGAAAGCCUUGGGGCUAAUACCCUCGAGGAAGGACAUCACCCACAGAAGAAGCACCGGCUAACUCCGUGCCAGCAGCCGCGGUAAUACGGAGGGUGCGAGCGUUAAUCGGAAUUACUGGGCGUAAAGCGCGCGUAGGCGGUCUGAUAAGCCGGUUGUGAAAGCCCCGGGCUCAACCUGGGAACGGCAUCCGGAACUGUCAGGCUAGAGUGCAGGAGAGGAAGGUAGAAUUCCCGGUGUAGCGGUGAAAUGCGUAGAGAUCGGGAGGAAUACCAGUGGCGAAGGCGGCCUUCUGGACUGACACUGACGCUGAGGUGCGAAAGCGUGGGUAGCAAACAGGAUUAGAUACCCCGGUAGUC
rnacentral:rRNA from 1 species